CAGUUUCAUCCAACGGCUUAUCCCCCAAUUCUGGAUCAAGUUGUGUGCCCACAGAAGGUUUUCAAAAUCAAAGCUUGUCCUGGAUCAAGUCCGUACUCUGUUAUUCAAAUUAGUGACAAUGAAGGGCUUUUGAAAAAUCUUGAAAAACAAUUUGGAUUGGGAGAGGCCAGUUCAAAGCUUGCCCUUCUUGAUGAGGUGAAGGUUGAUGAAGUGAAGGAGUCUCAAGAGUUAGUUGUUGAUACUUUGAACACUCAAUCCCUCUGUGAUGAAACCGAUCCUUCCUGCAGUUCUGCGACCCCUCCUCCCAAAAGAAACUCGCAGGAAGAUGUUGAUUGGGUUGGUUCUACACAGGAUGUUGAGGCAACCCAACUUUCUUCAACUAAGCUUGCCAAACAACCCAAGUUAGAGCCAAAGAACUAAUCAGAUCACCUUAACAAGAACACCUUUUAUCUACCUUUUUUUGGUUAACUUUGACCUUUGGUUCUGAACAAUUAUCUAAGUACCAUAUGUUGGUCUUUUGCACUUAUCUUGGCUGAUGUAAUAUAUUAUCUAACCUAU